rnacentral:tRNA from 1 species
GCAGUCGUGGCCGAGUGGUUACGGCGAUAGACUAGAAAUCCAUUCGGGACUCCCCGCACAGGUUCGAAUCCUGUCGACUGCG